UCCCUCCCUUUCUCAUUUUUCUUCCUUACUGCAGCAUCUCUACAUCACUCGCGCCUGCCCAUCCCAGCCUUCGAUUCCAGCACGGCUACUGCUGUCCUUGCUUCUCCCCAUCAUCAUGCUGGACAUAUUCAUUCUCAUGUUUUUUGCCAUUAUAGGGCUGGUCGUUUUAUCAUAUAUCAUCUACAUGCUGUAACAUGUCCAGCCACAACCCUUCUGCCACCAACAGCCUGUGAAGGACAGCCAAGCCAGGAAGCAGGUUUUUCCCCCCCUCCCUAUUUAAUGCAGUUGUUUCAGCAAUGUUGCAGACAGGAGCAGCAUCUGUCCCUGGAUUAUUUCCAUGUUUACAUCUCAGCAGCAUGGUCUUCCAGAGCAUUCUGGAAAAAAAUUUAACCCUUGCAAAACUCCCUGACAAAGAGAAGAAUGAUUUAGCUAAAUGCUGAAACUGUAUCCUAAGACUGAGUUGGAAGUGCAUGGGAGGAACAAGAGGCAAGGAAAAUGAAAUGAACGAAAGAAAGCAGAGAGUAAGAAUUCUAAUGAAAUGAUCCUAAAACAGUGGAGGGGAAGAAUCUGCUUUCUAAAGAAAAAAGUUGUGUUUCUGCAUAUCUAGAUAUACAAUCUUCAGUGAUAUUAAGUUCUAAAAUGCAGGAUUCUGAAAGCAUCAGACUGCAGAGAAAGGGGUUGGGAGAGCAAGAAGACUGAUGUGCCUUCUGAAUUACAUUUAAUGUUUGCCAUGCUAAACAUUACAUUUCUCAAGACAUAAAAGGCAAUUAUGUACAUGCUAUCUAGUAAUUACACAGUAUUUUCAAAACGUCAUAUUUAUCUCUGUAUGGAAGUUCGGGCAUAUCUGAAAAUGCAGCCUCAUUCUAUGGAUCAGCAUGGUGUUUUGUUUUGUUUUUUGCUUUUUUAAAAAACAAAACUUUCCAGAAAAUAAUUGGUUUAUAAUGGGUUGUUUUCUCUACUAAUAUCAUCAUGCUAAAUAUGUCACUGCAGAGGAAUCAAAAAGCAAACUCUAGCAUAUUAAUAAUUUUCACUAUCAUUAUCAAACUAUAACAAUUAUUUAUGUAAUUUUAUAAUACUGUAAGAAAACCAAUUUUUUGUAACAAAAUAUUAAUUAUAUUUCCUAUAUGAAUCAAGGAAACUUCCCACAGGGAUAAAAUAAAAAUCUGUUAAAAAUAAUAAUAAAAAGAUGAACUGCUUAUGUGAAACUGUCCUUGAAGAAUAGGUUAUUAACUAUUUUUUAUUUUAGUAUUUCUCAACUUUGGCAAUUUGAAGAUAAAUGAAUUUCAACUCUCAGAAUUCCCCAGCAAGUCCAUACAUCUUAAAGCUGCCAAGUUUGAGAAACAGUGUUCUGUUCUAGGAUCCUUGGAAAAGAAUGCCAGCAACUAUAAUCAUUCUCCCUUUCAGCUGCAAAAAAGAAUUUUUCCACAAAAAAUUGUUUUGCUAUUCUUACCUGAUACUGGGGACAAAAAGAGAUGUUCUGGGAAAUGCAUCUUGGGUGCUGCCAGGAUGGGCUAAAUCCAAAGUUUUUUUAUUUCCCUAGGAAAUAAAAAGCAACAUGGAAAUACAAACUGGAAGAGGUGGGGGAGAAAAGAGUGAGGGAAACACUUGGCCAAUGUAAUUCCAGCUGAUUUUAGGUGAUUCUACUUUUACCUUGUACUUUUUUUUGUCCCAUCACCAUAGAAUAAUUCUGCCUGUUGAUAUUAGAAUCUAAAUGUGCAUUCAAAAUAUGCAGUUUUCUAUUUAUAUCAAGAUAUGGGAUAGGAUGUGGUUUUAAUGUGAAAAAUAAUCUGAAAAAUAAGGGGGAGGGGAACCUGGCAGGAAAUAAUGUCUUUUUCCCACCUAUACCAGUUGUGGGUUUCAAAGUUUUUUACUACCGGUUCUGUGGGAAUGGCGUGGCCUGGCUUGGUGGGUGUGGCAGGGGAAGGGUACUGCAAAAUCCCCAUUUCCUCCUGAUCAGCUGGGAUUUGGGAGGCAGAGAAUAGAUGGGGGCAGGGGCAGUCAGAAUUUUUACUACUGGUUCUCUGACCUACUCAAUAUUUUCGCUACCGAUUCUCCAAAACUGGUCAAAACCUGCUAAAACCCACCUCUAACCUACACUCAAAAUAAUUUUAGGAAUAUUCAUUUCUUGAAUAUUACUUUAAGUAUAGCCUUUUAAGUAACCUAGAAAAUUUAUUGCUCUAAAAUGAGGGUGAGGGUGAGUGAUCUGCCUGCCACAGAGUUCCCUUCCCUCCAAUUAGAAUGGAGUACUAAUUAGAGAUUUUGUAUAAUUAUUCCAUUCAUUGUAGACAUUUCUCAUCCAAAAAUCCAGUGCAAUGCUCAAUGCCUCAGUUGCUAAAAAAAUAAAUAAAUAGGAGAGACAUAUGCGCCUCUCCUAUUAGAGACGUGCAGUUUCAACUUCUCAAGUGCUGGGCUAAUAGAGGCAGAAUAGAAUAAUAGAGUUGCAAGGGACCUUUGACAGGGGUGAAAUCCAGCAGGUUCUGACAGGUUUUGGAGAACCGACAGCGGAAAUUUUGAGUAGUUCGGAGAACCGGCAAAUACCACCUGUGACUGGCCCCAGAGUGGGGUGGGAAUAGAGAUUUUUGCAAUAUCCUUCCCCUACGAGUAAGGAGGGAAUGGGGAUUUUACAAUAUCCUUCCCCUGCCAUGCCUACCAAGCCACACCAUGCCCACCAAGCCACGCCCACGGGACUGGUAGUAAAAAAAAUUGGAUUUCACCACUGACCUUGGGGUCUUCUAGUACCUGCUCAAGGAGGAGACCCUAUACUAUUUCAGACAAAUGGCUGUCCAAUCUCUUCUUAAAAACCUUCAGUGAUGAAGCACCUCCAACUUCUGAAGGCAAGCUGUUCCACUGGUUAAUUGUUCUCACUGUUACAAAAUUUCUCCUUAGUUCUACGUUGCUUCUCUCCUUGAUUAAUUUCCAUCCAUUGCUUCUUGCCUUGUCUUCUGGUGCUUUGGAGAAUAGGUUGACUUUCUCUUCUUUGUGGCAGCCCUUUAAAUAUUGGAACACUGUUAUCAUGUCACUCAUAGUCCUUCCUUUCACUAGACUACUGAAUUCCUGCAACUUUUCUUCAAAUAUUUUAGCUCCAGUCCCAUUAUAAAUUUUGAUGCUCCACUCUGCACUCUUUCCAGAGUCUCAAAAUCUUUUUUAUAUUACAGUGACCAAAAUUGGAUGCACUAUUUCAAGUGUAGCCUUGCCAAGACAUUAUAAAGUGGUACUAACAUUUUAUGUAAUCUUGAUUCUGUCUCUGUUAAUGCAAUAUAGGAUUACAUUGGCUUUUUUGGCAACUGCAGCACACUGUUGGCUCAUCUGUAAGUGACUGUCCACUAGGGCUCCAAGAUCCCUGUUGCAGUUACUGCUGUUAAACCAGGUUUCUCCUAUUCUGUACCUUUACAUUUUCUUUUUCUUGCUUAAAUGUAAAUUUUUACUUUUCUCUACAUUGAAUUUCAUUUUGUUAGAUAUAGCCCAGUGUUCAAGUCUGUCAAGAUCCUUCUGUAUCUUGAGACUAUUUUCUGGGGUGUUGGCUAUUCCUGUCAGCUUGAUGUUGUCUGCAAAUUUGAUGUGUUUCCCUUCUGUUCCCUUAUCUAAACUGUUUAUGAAAAUAUCUGCAACUCCACUAAAAUGAUAAAAAAUGCUUUGUAAAUAGAAUAAAGGCCUUUGCCCACUGCCACAUUUUCUGCCAUUUUAAGUAUGGUUGCUAUUUUUUCUUAUUAAAUUGUCAAAAUGUC